UAUGUUUUAAUAUAUGAUGUAUAGAGAAUUUUGAAUUCUUAAGAAAUAGUUUAAUUCUAUUAGGCAUAA
rnacentral:tRNA from 1 species